GAUGAAGAACGUAGCGAAAUGCGAUAAGUAAUGUGAAUUGCAGAAUUCAGUGAAUCAUCGAAUCUUUGAACGCACAUUGCGCCCCCUGGUAUUCCGGGGGGCAUGCCUGUUCGAGCGUCAUUUCACCACUCAAGCCUCGCUUGGUAUUGGGCAACGCGGUCCGCCGCGUGCCUCAAAUCGACCGGCUGGGUCUUCUGUCCCCUAAGCGUUGUGGAAUCUAUUCGCUAAAGGGUGUUCGGGAGGCUACGCCGUAAAACAACCCCAUUUCUAAGGUUGACCUCGGAUCAGGUAGGGAUACCCGCUGAACUUAAGCAUAUCAAUAAGCGGAGGA
rnacentral:misc_RNA from 1 species